GUGGGGAAUAUUGGUCAAUGGACGAAAGUCUGAACCAGCCAAGUAGCGUGCAGGAUGACGGCCCUAUGGGUUGUAAACUGCUUUUAUACAGGGAUAAAGUCAGUUACGUGUAACUGUUUGUAGGUACUGUAUGAAUAAGGACCGGCUAAUUCCGUGCCAGCAGCCGCGGUAAUACGGAAGGUCCAGGCGUUAUCCGGAUUUAUUGGGUUUAAAGGGAGCGCAGGCUGAUGAUUAAGCGUGACGUGAAAUGUAGCCGCUCAACGGCUGAACUGCGUCGCGAACUGGUUAUCUUGAGUGAGUUCGAUGUUGGCGGAAUUCGUGGUGUAGCGGUGAAAUGCUUAGAUAUCACGAAGAACUCCGAUUGCGAAGGCAGCCAACAAGGCCUUUACUGACGCUAAAGCUCGAAGGUGCGGGUAUCGAACAGG
rnacentral:rRNA from 1 species